GGAGCGUUCUAUAGUAGGGUAAAGUAGAAAUGUAAAUUUCUGUGGACGAAAUAGAAGUGAGAAUGUUGGCUUGAGUAACGAAAACACUGGUGAGAAUCCAGUGCCCCGAAAACCUAAGGGUUCCUUUACAAGGCUCGUCCGUGAAGGUUAAGUCAGGUCCUAAGGUCAGGUCGAAAGACGUAGCCGAUGGAAAACAGGUUA
rnacentral:rRNA from 1 species